rnacentral:rRNA from 1 species
UGAACGCGAGCGGCAGGCCUNAACACAUGCAAGUCGAACGGUAACAGAGAAGAGCUUGCUCUUCUGCUGACGAGUGGCGCACGGGUGAGUAACGCGUAUACAAUCUACCUUUUACAGGGGGAUAGCCUUUAGAAAUGAAGAUUAAUAUCCCAUAGUAAUUUAUUAUUGCAUGAUAGUAAAUUUAAAGUUUCGGCGGUAAAAGAUGAGUAUGCGUUCUAUUAGUUAGUUGGUGAGGUAACGGCUUACCAAGACAACGAUAGAUAGGGGCCCUGAGAGGGGGAUCCCCCACACUGGUACUGAGACACGGACCAGACUCCUACGGGAGGCAGCAGUGAGGAAUAUUGGACAAUGGGCGAGAGCCUGAUCCAGCCAUGCCGCGUGCAGGAAGACUGCCCUAUGGGUUGUAAACUGCUUUUAUACAGGAAGAAACCUUUUCACGUGUGAAAAGCUGACGGUACUGUAAGAAUAAGGAUCGGCUAACUCCGUGCCAGCAGCCGCGGUAAUACGGAGGAUCCAAGCGUUAUCCGGAAUCAUUGGGUUUAAAGGGUCCGUAGGUGGAUAAUUAAGUCAGGGGUGAAAGUUUGCAGCUCAACUGUAAAAUUGCCUUUGAUACUGGUUAUCUUGAAUUAUUGUGAAGUGGUUAAAAUAUGUAUUGUANCGGUGAAAUGCU